rnacentral:lncRNA from 12 species
CUUCCUAAUGAUGGGGGCAGCGAUUCAUCCUGACAAUUCUUCUGCACUCACUCAGAUUCUGGCAGGUUUGGGGACACGGGAUCAGGGCUCAAUAUUUGUCUAGUGAAUGAAUAGCUAAUUUAAAAAAAAGAGAUAAAAUAUGUGGCACAAAAAGACAACAUAUUUGGCAUCCUCGGCACUUUUCAAAGGAGAGCGAAUCGGAAGCUCUGUCCGUUUUGCUUAGUUACAGAUCUACAGGUCUCUUCCUGUCUUUUCCUGCCCUGAGGGUAAACAGUUGUUAUUGAACUCAAGACCCAACAAGACAAGAAACUGACACUUUAUCUUGUUCCAUCUCCCAUUCCUACUUCAAAAUUUUUCUGAUUCUUUUUUUGAAAUACAAAAACUUGCAAAGAAAACAUGCCUACUUAAGAAUUGCUCUGCGACUAAAGCCUUGAAAGCCUGAUACAAGGCUCCUAUGUCUGGAACCCUUACUAUAUUAGCAUCUUUCAGAGAAGGAUUAGAUUUCUCUCAAGAUUGACUUUGGCUGAGUUUCCUCCCCCAAGUCCUACUCCCCCAGCGACCCAGCUUCCUGUCCUGGACUCCAGCCUGGGAUUCUCACUACAAAGCCCCAGUUUCCGGGAGGAUGAAUCCUAGCCCUCUGUUUAAUGCCAACGACUUCCCUUGGUUCAAAUCUGGGUUCUAGGCCUACUGUCUGGGCCCAGCUUGUCCCAGAGCAACCAGCUCCAUCUAAUGUGCUCUAUGCUUAGGCCUUACGUCUUCUCAAAGCUGAUCAUGCGUCAGGUCUAUAUCCAAGCCCCGAAUGGAUCCCACUGUCAAUGGCAGAACUUUCCUUCUGCAUGUCCAUAGCAUGUUGCGGUCAGUGUGUGAGCCAGCGUAGGCUAACUGCAUUAGCAACACAUCCCACAUCCGUAGUGGCUGAACACAGAAAAUUUCACUUCUUGCUCACAACACUGUUCGAUGCAGGUCAGAAGGAGGGUUGGGGCUCUGCUCCAUGUGGUCUCCUGAUGACCCACUUCCCCUUCAUCCCGCGGCUCUUCUCUGCUGUAGAUCUUUACAGAUCUCACCACUCGACCAGCAGAUGGUGGAAGAACAAGGACCGGACACUGGAGGCUGUCAGCGGCACUCCUCACUUCUACUCAGGUCCACUGACAAGAACUUGGUUAUGUAACCACUCUCAAACGGAAGAGGUGUUAAUCUGGUUGUACACUGAGAAAGGAGAGGAAAGCCCACGUUGUCCCUACCUUCAUAGUCAAGAUUCUUGGGAGAAGGCUGCUGGAGCCCAAAAGGAUUUUGUUCAAAAAAUACACAACCCGUUGACCAGAAGCUGGUUUUCCGACGUAAGCCCCCUUCUCUAGGAGAGCAUGUGUCGAUAGGUGAUAUGAGCUCUAUCUUUAACUUCAAGUUAACAAUGGUAAUUCACAAAGAAGCCAAUCAAACCACAGGUUGGGACCACUUUGUAUUUUUUUGAAGCUAGAUCCAUGGGUGAUAAAAUGCUUAAUUCUUAAUUUGAUGGAGAUCCUAUGUCAGCCGAGCUUUCAACAAAUAAUUUUAUUGUAUUUGAUAACCAUAUACUUAAUUCCCAACUGAGCCGGUCGGCUGGUAGAUGUAGGCUUUUCAUCUCAGAGGGGCUCUGUGUGUGAGAGUCAUUUGUGGGGGGUAAAUCUGAGUUUGAAGUCUAUCUGUGACUUCUAUCAUGUUGUGCAGCAAAGUCACCAAUUUGAAUCUCAAUGAGAUGAGACUACGACAUAGGAUCCACACCAAAGGUCGUAAUGGGUUUGGAUGAGGACAGUAAGGGACAGCUGCUCUUUCUUUUUGAGCACAAAUCCACCACUCUCAUCAAUUCCUCCUGCAACUCCAGGUACAAUUCCAGCUGGUAGCAAGGCAAUGCCGUGAUCCUUAUAUAAAAAGAAUUAAACAUCUUUACCACGUGUCAAUGGUAGGUGGGCGGCCUGAUGUGGUGGAUAAAACACAGGAAUAGGGUCAAAAUCCCGGGGUUCUGCACCAAACGUGGGUUCCAUUCAAUUGUGUGCAUUUGGGGAAGUCAACCCUUUAGCUCCUCAUUUGUAAAACGAAGACCAUAAUCCCUGCUCCAGUCACCUCCCAGUCACCUCCCAGGGCUUAUAUAAGACUCAGUGCUUGUAGCUCUGUCAUUAUCACCGGCCGCCUCAUGUUAAACCGGGUCCUUUGAGGCAGCUUUUCAAAACACCCAAACUCUUUUUUUUUUUAAAGAUUUUAUUUAUUUAUUUAUUCAUGAGAGACACACAGAGAGAGAGGCAGAGACACAGGCAGAGGGAGAAGCAGGCUCCAUGCAGGAGCCCAAUGUGGGACUCGAUCCCAGGACCCUGGGGUCACACCCUGAGCCCAAGGCUCUGUCGCUGAGCCCCCCAGACAUCCCCCAAACACCCAAACCAUUAUGAUGAGGGCUGGGGCCAUGUAAUGUGUUCAUUCAACAAAUACCCCCUAGCCUAGCUGUGCUGAGUGCCACUGAGACGCUGGGACACUGGUGAACAUGCGAGGUGGGUGGAAGUACAGGAACAAAGAGCAGCUAAACAAAUGAGUAAGCUCGAUGAUUUCAAAUAGUGAUACGCUCAAGGACUGAGCAGUGUGAAGGGUGAUUAGGGAGAGAGGGCCCAGCCUACACUGGCGGGUUCAGGAAGACCUUUCCCAGGAGGUGACAGUGAAGCUGAGGUACAAAGGACAUAGUUGGGUUUUGGACCUUUAUACACAACAGAAGGACAGAAAGUGAUUGUGCAAGCACCAGUCACAAACUUUAGUUACCUUCUCUUCUUGGACACAGACAGAGAAGCAGAGUGGGAAAGUGAAGGGAAAAAUGGACCGAGGAAGAGGGCAGGAGGGCCAGCGGCAGGGAGGCUGUGGGCCAAGCUCUGAGACUGGGUCCCCCAUGUCUUCCUGUGAGAUGCAGGCAUUUGGAAUUGUAGAAGGAGGCCCGGCUCAGCGUCACAUUCUGCUGGUUGGGAGAAGGACCCUCCAGGGUUGGUGUGUACACCCCAGCUCCGCCCAGACAGGCCCUCCACCUGUCAGUGGCCGCUGAGCAAGGGGCCUUGUUUCAGGAGGGGUCCCCCCAACCCAGGCUGUCUGUGCAGCCCAGGUGAUGCUUUGCCCAAGACUGUCUCCUCCACCGUAUGUGCUAAGCCAGGGAGCCUGCACCCCAAGGCCGCCCAGACAGGGCACGUCCAAGACCUGGGAGGCGGACCCGUGUUCACAGGCUCUUACGUGUGAGUUGAAUUUGCAGAGCACCAGCUGCAAGGUGGCCAGUGGAGACCGCCGUCCGUCCCCGGGGUGUCUCCCCAACAAUUGCUCCAUGCCCAGGGCAGCUGCGGCGGCUGUGGAAGCUCCGGGCGGCAGCCAAGGGAAGGAACUCCGGGGAUUUGUUAACUUCAGGUUCCGUGAGGUUCAGCGAUCUGCACUCGGCUGCUUCCCCGCGUACUUAUUGAGCCCGUACGUGUCCUGUGUAGAAAUAUCCCACAGGAUGAACUCUAAACAGAAGUGAUGGGCGGAUACUUGUAUUAUUUGAUAAUUCAGUUAACGAAGAGGAGUAAAUCGUUGGUGCGAUUUCUCAGGCACAUUGUAAAGGUUUUCAUUUCUUGCCUAUUCAACGUAAAAUAUGGACACUGAUGAAGAAAACAGGAAACGUAGGCACCACCGCGACAGGAUGUACAAUACCCGGGUUAAUGAGUGUUAUAGUCGAAGGAUAUUUAGGAUUAGCCACUGUGCAAGAAGCCUCGAAAUGACCUUAAAUCCUGCGGCUCACACAGGAAAGAAACUGAAUGGAUGUUUCCCCACAUUUGGCAAUUCUAAACACAAAACAAAACAAAACAAAAAUGCAAGACACUGCCAAUAAGUUGAAGUUUUCAGCUAGAAAGGAAAGGUUACAACUGAAUCAUCUUUCCUUCCUCUGCACAGAAAACGCUAUUACAAUGUCGUUGUCAUUGGAAAAAGGGAUCCAACAGCAGCCGAGAAAAUGCAGGAGGUGUCAGGCUGUUAACUAAUAUCUGUUUCUAGGUUUUGUGACGUUUCCGGUGUGGUCAGAUGUUUACACUUGACAUCUGUUGUAAUUUUGUUUCUCAUGCUCAAUAAAUACUUAUUUGCAAACA